GACGAACGCUGGCGGCGUGCUUAACACAUGCAAGUCGAACGGAAAGGGCCUGCUUUUGUGGGGUGCCCGAGUGGCGAACGGGUGAGUAACACGUGAGUAACCUGCCCUUGACUUUGGGAUAACUUCAGGAAACUGGGGCUAAUACCGGAUAGGAGCUCCUGCAGCAUGGUGGGGGUUGGAAAUUUCAGGCGGAUGGGGAUGGACGCGCGGCUUAUCAGCUGGUUGGUGGGGUAGUGGCUUACCAAGUCUUAGACGGGUAGCCGGCAUGAGAGGGUGACCGGCCACAUUGGGACUGAGGUACGGACCAGACGGCUACGGUAGACAGCAGGGGGGAAUAUUGCACAAUGGGCGGAAGCCUGAUGAAGCAACGCCGCGUGCGGGAUGACGGCUUUCGGGUUGUAAACCGCUUUCGCCUGUGACGAAGCGUGAGUGACGGUAAUGGGUAAAGAAGCACCGGCUAACUACGUG
rnacentral:rRNA from 1 species